rnacentral:rRNA from 1 species
CAGUAGCCACGGUAAUACGGAGGAUCCAAGCGUUAUCCGGAAUCAUUGGGUUUAAAGGGUCCGUAGGCGGUCUUGUAAGUCAGUGGUGAAAGCCCAUCGCUCAACGGUGGAACGGCCAUUGAUACUGCAGGACUUGAAUUAUUGGGAAGUAACUAGAAUAUGUAGUGUAGCGGUGAAAUGCUUAGAGAUUACAUGAAAUACCAAUUGCGAAGGCAGGUUACUACCAAUUGAUUGACGCUGAUGGACGAAAGCGUGGGUAGCGAACAGGAUUAGAGACCCCAGUAGUCCCUGUCUCUUAUAC